rnacentral:rRNA from 1 species
AGUUCGGAUCGCAGGCUGCAACCCGCCUGCGUGAAGUUGGAAUCGCUAGUAAUCGCGGAUCAGCAUGCCGUGGUGAAUACGUUCCCGGGCCUUGUACACACCGCCCGUCGCACCAUGAGAGUCGGGAACACCCGAAGUCCGUAGCCUAACCGCAAGGGGGCGCGGCCGAAGGUGGGUUCGAUAAUUGGGGUGAAGUCGUAACAAGGUAUC